GUGAAUCAUCAAAUUUUUGAACGCAAAUUGCACUCUCCGGUUUUCCGGGAGAGUAUGCCUGUUUGAGGGUAAGCCUAAAUAAAAUCGGCUUAGUAGUUUGCUGUGUUUUUCACGGUAACGGUGGUCGGAAUUUGGGUCAUCUUAAACCGAAAGGUUUUUAAUCGACUUAAAAUUGUCUUACGAUCUCGCGAACGUAUCUAAGAUUUUCUUUCAUGUUCAUGGUAUCGAUAUUAGACGUGACCGUCGUAUCGGCUCGCGUACCUAAUAAUUGCUGU
rnacentral:misc_RNA from 1 species